CAGCCGCCGCGGUAAUACGUAGGUGGCAAGCGUUGUCCGGAAUUAUUGGGCGUAAAGGGCCCGCAGGCGGUUUCUUAAGUCUGAUGUGAAAGCCCCCGGCUCAACCGGGGAGGGUCAUUGGAAACUGGGAAACUUGAGUGCAGAAGAGGAGAGUGGAAUUCCACGUGUAGCGGUGAAAUGCGUAGAGAUGUGGAGGAACACCAGUGGCGAAGGCGACUCUCUGGUCUGUAACUGACGCUGAGGAGCGAAAGCGUGGGGAGCGAACAGGAUUAGAUACCCCGGUAGUCCUGUCUCUUAUACA
rnacentral:rRNA from 1 species